UUGGCCUACACCACUUCGCUCUUCCAUUGGCUCAGGGAAGAAGCGCUCGGGGAUGGCGGGGAUCCGCUCCCGGCUCCAGCCCGACGCCCGUGGGGCCGCGGGGCGCUGCGGGCGGACUGCUGGGCAGAGGGGGCGGUGCCAGGCCUUCAAAGUCAAAGCGUUUUCGGCCGCCGUUACGACUCGGUCUGUAGCGCUCAGCCGGUGUCCGGCCGCGUAGUUCCAAGACUCUUGGCCUUGGCCCUGGAAGCUCUGUUCCCGCGGGAUCUUAGUGAGGAGGCGGAGUUGGCCUGGACCUGGCAUCCCCCGGCAUGUCCAGCAUGCGGAUCUAGUUAGCUGUUAAUGACCAUGAAGGGAGAACCGCGGCUAACUCACUGAUGAGCCCCGCUGCCUGUGAUGACUAUCUUGUGAUGAGACCGCGCUUUCUCCCAGUCGGGUCACCUGGAGUCCUGAGAGGUCCUCCCUCGCUGGUUGUAAAACAGUGCCAACACCACCCAGCCUUCAGGACCACCACAGGCCACUAUCUCGUGCAGAGGCCCCCAGGGAAGCAGUGCCAGAGCCGCAACGUCCGCUGAGGAACGCAGGCCCCCUGUCCAUUCCUUCUGCCCCGCUUCCUCACUCUUCACUGGAGCAUGUUCGCACAGGACUCCGGCUUCUAACUCUGCCUUUAUUAUUUUAAUGAGAUGAUGCAAUUGCAAACUUUUCCGUCUGUGCGUAGCGUUUCCUUAGAUAGGUAGAUGCUUGUCCCCGUUUACUCUACCUACCCCUUUAACCUAUUCAUUUACUUUUUGGCAGUGAUUACUAACGUUUGGGUAGUGGUCUUCUGGAAAAUAAUAAAGCUUUAAAUCCUCAACCCCUAUCCCCCAUGCACACAUAAAAUUGCAUUUAACAGGAUUUCAGAGUGAAGGAGACUCAACUCCCAAAGGGGUCCACUAACCUCGGGUUAACCCCUCCCCUACAGCAUAUUCAGUCUUCUCUGUUCACUAACUCAUUUCCCUUGAGAGAUGAAUAGGUCUCACAAAAAGCCACCCCUCUGCCUUGUUAAGAGUAUUCAUUUCCUUUACCACCAAAUUGUUCCAAUAAUGGUAUAUGCCUACUAUGUGCUUCUUAAAGCUCUACGUUUUACUUUAUGGUCACAAAAUGAUUUUUCCAAAUCCAAUGGCUUUUUGUUCUCUUGUUGAAAGAUAUACGUCCCCCAUUGACGUACACCUCGUUGAAACUUUAUCCUCCCCCAGAAACGACUCUAUGCUAUUACCUUUUAUAUGUCUAAGUCUCUUAUACUUCUCUAGCCAAUAAAGUGGAAUAUUCCUGAA